AUGCCAUAUUUUACAUUUAUCAGGUUUAAAGCUUUUCCUUAUUCUCUAAAGUUUUCAUUUAAGAAUUUGCCAAACUCUUAGAGAGUGUUUAGUUUGGCUAUAUGUACUUUUAACUUUUGAUUUAAAAUAUACUUCUAAGUUAUAAGUUAAUUUAAAAAUAAAUAUUUGAGUGUUAAGCAAAACUAUUUAAAAGCUACUUUUAAGUAUUUUAAGUGUUUGGUUAAUAGGUGUUUAAAUGUAAUUUAAUUUGUUAAAAUUACCAAAAAGGGUAUGUGAUAUGAACCUGUCUAACUUCACCUCAAAAAUUAGCUCACAAGAGGAGGUUUGCAA
rnacentral:misc_RNA from 1 species